GAAACAGUUUAAACAAUAGCAGCCAAUAAAUUGGUGUACAAGUACACAGGUCCCUGAAGGCAGCAGUUCAAGUAGAAAAGGUUGUAAAGAAGGCAUAUGGAAUGGUCUCUUUCGUUGGCAGAGACAGGAGGUUUAAGAACUGGUUUUGCCAAGCGAGAAACAGGGAAAGAAAAACCAAAGUUGUCUGGAAACACUGCUGAAGGGAGCUGUAGGGAAUGUCUCUCUGUCUGAAUCUAAGCUCAACUCCAGCAAGGUGCUGUUACCUGAACUUCAAUUCAACUCCAAGGUUAAAGGAACACAGCAAACUUCAAAUGGCCACAUCAUUCAACAAUCUAUACCUCAAGGGCAAGCAAAAGACUUAAUCAUAUAUUCUUUUAACUUUUAUUUGGACUCCAACUUUUCUUACUUUUAAUAUCUGUGCAUGUGUGUGUGAGCCAUUGUGUUUUUUUAUUAUUUUUUUCUCGGGUUUAGUAACUCAUAAGCUUACUCUUUCUUUUACUCAAGAAAACAUAGUUUGAUUGGAUUCUUAUUAAAAAGUAGAUACAUUUGGAUUGGAAAAGAAGCUAAAAAAAACUUUUGUUACAACCAACUGAAGGGGUGAAUAAAGGGGAAUCAGUUCCCUCCUCCUCACCUGGACGUAACAGCAGCUAGAACCAGGCAGGGAUAUUUAAACCACAGUUUUUAAAAAAAAUUAUUUCUGCUGUUUUUCCUCUACUUAAGUUUCAGCAACUACCAUUAUCAGUUUGACAAAAUUACCAUCACCAGAAAAGUCACUUCAUUUUUUUUCUCUAGAAUAAUUAUAUUUUCUCAUUGAACAAUCCCUGAAAGUGCAUUACAAUAAAAUCCUAGCCCUGAUGCUCAUUUCAGCAAAGUACUGGCAGACCUGUACAAGGCAGAGUUAAUUAAAAAUGAGUGUUCUGUAAUUCAGCCACUAAUAGAUCUAUAUCCUGCUUUACAGAGAAUGAGUUGAUCUUUAUACUUUCAGGGUAUGUUAAUGUGAUCAUUUGUAUUCUUGGAAUGAGAAAACUCAGAGGCUGCAAGUCCAGGGACAUUGAUUUGACUGUUUCAAUAAAUAAGAAUAUUUAGUUUAGAGAUAGAAAUGUGCAACAGUAUUUAUAUUGAAAAUUUUUGUAUUAUGUGCAAGCAGGGAUGAUUUUCAAACAAUAAGAUAACUGAUUCUUGUUUUGUAUCCUUGUAUAACUGGCCUGUCUUUUUUUCAGAAAGCAGAGAUUAGAAGUUGGGAAGAAGUACAGAACACUGUUAAGGAAUAGGCCCUUUGAAAGAAAGAACCUGCAUUUAUAUAGCUCCUUUCAUAACUUCAGGACGUCUCACAGCUACUGAAGUACUUUUGAAGUGUAGUCACUGUUAUAAUCUGGUAAACACAGCAGCCAUUUUUUUAGAUAACGAGAUCCCACAAACAAUAAUGAUAUAAAUGGCCAAAUAAUAUUAGCGAUGAAUAUUGAGGGAUAAAUAUUGACCAUGACACCAGAGUGAACUCCUUUGCUCUUCAAGUACACUUUUUCUCACCCACUUGAGAGACCAGCCAAGGCCUCUAUCAAACAUCACAUUUGAAAUUGAGUUGAAGUAAAAAUUAAAGAACAAAAUUGUAUUUAUAUAGUCUUUCAUGUCAUCUAGAUAUUCCAAAGUGCCUUACAGAAAUUUUUUAAAGUAUGGUCUUGUGUUGUAUUUGUAGGAAAAUGCAACAGCCAAUUUGCCCAAAACAAAGACCACAAAAAGCUGUGUGAGGAAUUGCCUGUUCAGCUGGUUUUGGUAAUAUUGGUUGAGGGGUUAUUGCUGGCCAAGAUACUGAGUUCAACAUCUUGUGCAGAAGAUGCUUUUCUCCAAUAAUAAAAUAUUCCUCCAGUAGGAUUUACUUUGUAGCUUUCCAUGUGACUAGUUCAUACUGAGGCUGGAGCUGAAUGGCCCUGGUGGAACCUAAACUGUGCACUAAUAAACAGGUUGCAGCUGAGUAGGUGCCACUUGAUAGCACUGUUGAUGACGUCUUCCAUCAGUUUGCUGAUGAUUGAGUGUAGACUGAUUAGUUUGGUUUACAACAAGUUGGCUGCAAGGAGCAUUUCUUUCAGAGUUCAGUUGAAAUUCUGUGUGCUGUCUAAAAGGGUUUAAAGCUCUUGACAGCUGAAGGACUCUAUUAACAGUGAGGUGGAAUUUUGUGUUAGCCAAGCUAAGAAGAGAGUGGGAGAGAGAGAUGGAGAGUUAAACAACAUUAAAACCAGCAAGCUACACUUAAGACACUAGUGACAUCUGUGCUGAUCUGGAACUCUACAACCGUAGGAUGGUUGAAGGAGAUUUCAAGGGAGAACCUUGCUGUAAGUAGGUGGGAAGCCCAAGAAAUCACAACCCUUGAAACAGUACUCAGAUCAAAUGAUUAACCUUCCAAUUUCUGAUAAACAUCUGACUUGGGUUUUUUAGGUUUAAGUUAAAUGGAUGCAUAAGGUAAUUCGAGUUAAAAAAAAUCAGUUUAGAGGAUAAGCAACUGUGUUCACUGUAUUUUUAAAAUCUUUAACAUAAGUGACUAUUUAAGAUCGAGUGUAGUUAUGAGUAUUCAUGUUCUGUGAUUUUUGUGUUGCAAAAUUCCUUUGGUUUAAACUGUG